ACGCUCGACACCUAGAGGCAGCAGUGAGGAAUAUUGGUCAAUGGGCGCUAGCCUGAACCAGCCAAGUAGCGUGAAGGAUGAAGGCUCUAUGGGUCGUAAACUUCUUUUAUAUAAGAAUAAAGUGCAGUAUGUAUACUGUUUUGUAUGUAUUAUAUGAAUAAGGAUCGGCUAACUCCGUGCCAGCAGCCGCGGUAAUCUGAGCGGGCUGGCAAGGC
rnacentral:rRNA from 1 species